CCUGCCCUAUAAAAAACACACACCAGUUCUGGGUUUGCCUCGCACAAAAGAGCUCUCAGAAGACCUACGAUUAAGAAUUGUUGACUUGCAUAAAGCUGGAAUGGGUUAUAAAAGUAUCUCCAAAAGCCUUGCUGUUCAUCAGUCCACGGUAAGACAAAUUGUCUAUAAAUGGAGAAAGUUCAGCACUGCUGCUACUCUCCCUAG